GACCUGCGGAGGGAUCAUUACCGAGUUUACAACUCCCAAACCCCUGUGAACAUACCAAUUGUUGCCUCGGCGGAUCAGCCCGCUCCCGGUAAAACGGGACGGCCCGCCAGAGGACCCCUAAACUCUGUUUCUAUAUGUAACUUCUGAGUAAAACCAUAAAUAAAUCAAAACUUUCAACAACGGAUCUCUUGGUUCUGGCAUCGAUGAAGAACGCAGCAAAAUGCGAUAAGUAAUGUGAAUUGCAGAAUUCAGUGAAUCAUCGAAUCUUUGAACGCACAUUGCGCCCGCCAGUAUUCUGGCGGGCAUGCCUGUUCGAGCGUCAUUUCAACCCUCAAGCCCAGCUUGGUGUUGGGACUCGCGAGUCAAAUCGCGUUCCCCAAAUUGAUUGGCGGUCACGUCGAGCUUCCAUAGCGUAGUAGUAAAACCCUCGUUACUGGUAAUCGUCGCGGCCACGCCGUUAAACCCCAACUUCUGAAUGUUGACCUCGGAUCAGGUAGGAAUACCCGCUGAACUUAAGCAUAUCAAUAA
rnacentral:rRNA from 1 species